rnacentral:rRNA from 1 species
UUGGAAUACGGCACAACGCGAGAACUCAGCCUAUAGCGAGACAUACUCGUUAUAGGGUCAAGCGAAUAAGUGCAUGUGGUGGAUGCCUUGGCGAUUACAGGCGAUGAAGGACGUAGUAGCCUGCGAAAAGCUGCGGGGAGCUGGCAAACGAGCUUUGAUCCGCAGAUAUCCGAAUGGGGAAACCCGGCCCGCAUGGGUCAUCUGUUACUGAAUACAUAGGUAACAGAAGCGAACGCAGUGAACUGAAACAUCUAAGUAGCUGCAGGAACAGAAAUCAACCGAGAUUCCCAAAGUAGUGGCGAGCGAAAUGGGAUCAGCCUUGUACUCUUUAGCAGUAUUGUUAGCAAAGCGGAAUGGAAAGUCCGGCCAUAGUGGGUGAUAGCCCCGUAUGCGAAAACAGUAUUGUGGAACUAGGUGUACGACAAGUAGGGCGGGACACGUGAAAUCCUGUCUGAAGAUGGGGGGACCAUCCUCCAAGGCUAAAUACUCGUAAUCGACCGAUAGUGAACCAGUACCGUGAGGGAAAGGCGAAAAGAACCCCGGGAGGGGAGUGAAAUAGAUCCUAAAACCGCAUGCAUACAAACAGUCGGAGCCUGGAAACGGGUGACGGCGUACCUUUUGUAUAAUGGGUCAGCGACUUACAUUCAGUGGCAAGCUUAACCGAUUAGGGAAGGCGUAGCGAAAGCGAGUCCGAAUAGGGCGUUCAGUCGCUGGGUGUAGACCCGAAACCAAGUGAUCUAUCCAUGGCCAGGUUGAAGGUGCGGUAACACGUACUGGAGGACCGAACCCACUAACGUUGAAAAGUUAGGGGAUGAGCUGUGGAUAGGGGUGAAAGGCUAAACAAACUUGGAAAUAGCUGGUUCUCUCCGAAAACUAUUUAGGUAGUGCCUCGUGUCUCACCUUCGGGGGUAGAGCACUGUCAUGGUUGGGGGGUCUAUUGCUGAUUACCCCGCCAUAGCAAACUCCGAAUACCGAAGAGUGCAAUCACGGGAGACAGACAUCGGGUGCUAACGUCCGGUGUCAAGAGGGAAACAACCCAGACCGCCAGCUAAGGUCCCUAAAUAUUGCUAAGUGGGAAACGAAGUGGGAAGGCUAAAACAGUCAGGAGGUUGGCUUAGAAGCAGCCACCCUUUAAAGAAAGCGUAAUAGCUCACUGAUCGAGUCGUCCUGCGCGGAAGAUGUAACGGGGCUAAGCAAUAUACCGAAGCUGCGGAUGCACGUAAGUGCAUGGUAGGAGAGCGUUCUGUAAGCCUGUGAAGGUGUCUUGUAAAGGAUGCUGGAGGUAUCAGAAGUGCGAAUGCUGACAUGAGUAGCGAUAAAGGGGGUGAAAGGCCCCCUCGCCGUAAGCCCAAGGUUUCCUACGCAACGUUCAUCGGCGUAGGGUGAGUCGGCCCCUAAGGCGAGGCAGAGAUGCGUAGCUGAUGGGAAGCAGGUUAAUAUUCCUGCACCGUCGUAUGAUGCGAUGGGGGGACGGAUCGCGGAAGGUUGUCCGGGUGUUGGAUGUCCCGGUCCCUGCAUUGGAGAUGGCACUUAGGCAAAUCCGGGUGCGUGAUUCAAGGGUGUGGGGCGAGCGACUUUAGGUCGCGAAGCAAUUGGAAGUGGUUCCAAGAAAAGCCUCUAAGCUUCAGUCAUACGAGACCGUACCGCAAACCGACACAGGUGGGCGAGAUGAGUAUUCUAAGGCGCUUGAGAGAACUCGGGAGAAGGAACUCGGCAAAUUGGUACCGUAACUUCGGGAUAAGGUACGCCCUUGUAGUUUGACUAGCUCGCGCUAGAAGGAUGAAGGGGUUGCAAUAAAAUGGUGGCUGCGACUGUUUAAUAAAAACACAGCACUCUGCAAACACGAAAGUGGACGUAUAGGGUGUGACGCCUGCCCGGUGCCGGAAGAUUAAAUGAUGGGGUGCAAGCUCUUGAUUGAAGUCCCGGUAAACGGCGGCCGUAACUAUAACGGUCCUAAGGUAGCGAAAUUCCUUGUCGGGUAAGUUCCGACCUGCACGAAUGGCGUAACGAUGGCCACACUGUCUCCUCCCGAGACUCAGCGAAGUUGAAGUGUUUGUGAUGAUGCAAUCUCCCCGCGGCUAGACGGAAAGACCCCAUGAACCUUUACUGUAGCUUUGCAUUGGACUUUGAACCGAUCUGUGUAGGAUAGGUGGGAGGCUUUGAAACCGGGACGCUAGUUUCGGUGGAGCCGUCCUUGAAAUACCACCCUGGU